rnacentral:lncRNA from 1 species
GUUUUGGCGGGAAAAUCUGUAAUGUUUGGAGAAGACAAGAUGGCGCUGGUUACCUCGUGUCAUAUCCAAGGGCAGUUUUGUUCACAAAUACCCAUUUAUUUUACGUUGUAGCGACUGGUUAGUUUUGGAAAUUAUAACUCAAUGGACGGGGAAAACGAUUCUGUAUUAAAGAGAAAAAGAUGUGCAGCUAUUGUGAUGUUAUUUGUUGUGAAAGACGGCCCGAAAUUUCGCUACAUCGCAGUACUGGUUUAUAAAACAUUUACAAGCAACAACAAUUGAACUAUAUGACAAAGAAACAAGCCAAUCAAGUUCUUCAGUUUAAAGGUCAGUUUACUUUUUAAUAAUUAGUUCAUUUAGUUGUAUAUUAAUACGAAUUACGAA